CCUACGGGAGGCAGCAGUGGGGAAUAUUGCACAAUGGGGGAAACCCUGAUGCAGCGACGCCGCGUGAGUGAAGAAGUCCUUCGUUAUGUAAAGCUCUAUCAGCAGGGAAGAAAAUUACGGUACCUGAGUAAUAAUCCCCGGCGAACUACGUUCCAGCAGCCGCGGUAAUACGUAGGGGGCCAGCGUUAUCCGGAUUUACUGGGUGUAAAGGGAGCGUAGACGGCAGUGCAAGUCUGGAGUGAAAGGCGGGGGCUCAACCCCCAGACUGCUGUGGAAACUGUAAGGCUGGAGUGCAGGAGAGGUAAGUGGAAUUCGUAGUGUAGCGGUGAAAUGCGUAGAUAUUAGGAGGAACACCAGUGGCGAAGGCAGCUUACUGGACUGUAACUGACGUUGAGGCUCGAAAGCGUGGGGAGCAAACAGGAUUAGAUACCCCUGUAGUC
rnacentral:rRNA from 1 species